AGGUGUGGAUCACUCGGGUCAGCCUGUCCCUCUAUCUGGUCUGUCUGGUCCUCUGCAUCCUCACCUUUGUCUUCUGCUGCUUCAUCAAAUAAACUCGUACCACCAUCCAUCACCACCUGUGCAUGUGCCUCUUCAUCACCAACUUCCUCUCCAGCAUGAGCAACAAGCUGCAUCGCAGAAAGGGGGCAGAGGAGACUCCGAGAGAGAGGGGAAGGACAAGACGAUGCAAAGGUUCUCCAAAUGGCAGUCAAAUAAAGGCCUAUUCUGAGCCCUCCCUUCAUU